GCAUAAAUGGUUCACUGGUAGAAUUCUUGCCUGCCACGCGGGAGACCCGGGUCCGAUUCCUGGCCAAUGCA
rfam:Danio rerio chromosome 4, GRCz11 reference primary assembly.